rnacentral:rRNA from 1 species
GUGGGGAAUCUUAGACAAUGGGCGCAAGCCUGAUCUAGCCAUGCCGCGUGAGCGAUGAAGGCCUUAGGGUUGUAAAGCUCUUUCGUGGGGGAAGAUAAUGACUGUACCCCAAGAAGAAGCCCCGGCUAACUCCGUGCCAGCAGCCGCGGUAAUACGGAGGGGGCUAGCGUUGUUCGGAAUUACUGGGCGUAAAGCGCACGUAGGCGGACUGGAAAGUCAGGGGUGAAAUCCCGGGGCUCAACCCCGGAACUGCCUUUGAAACUCCCAGUCUUGAGUUCGAGAGAGGUGAGUGGAAUUCCGAGUGUAGAGGUGAAAUGCGUAGAUAUUCGGAGGAACACCAGUGGCGAAGGCGGCUCACUGGCUCGAUACUGACGCUGAGGUGCGAAAGCGUGGGGAGCAAACAGGAUUAGAUACCCGGGUAGUCC